rnacentral:misc_RNA from 1 species
AUGGGAGGGGGCUUGCUCCCGAUAGCGGAGUGCCAGUCAGAGAGAUUUGGACGGGUCCACCUAUAUCGGGAGCAAGCCCCCUCCCAC